rnacentral:rRNA from 1 species
GACGAACGCUGGCGGCGUGCUUAACACAUGCAAGUCGAACGGAAAGGCCCUGCUUUUGUGGGGUGCUCGAGUGGCGAACGGGUGAGUAACACGUGAGUAACCUGCCCUUGACUUUGGGAUAACUUCAGGAAACUGGGGCUAAUACCGGAUAGGAGCUCCUGCUGCAUGGUGGGGGUUGGAAAGUUUCGGCGGUUGGGGAUGGACUCGCGGCUUAUCAGCUUGUUGGUGGGGUAGUGGCUUACCAAGGCUUUGACGGGUAGCCGGCCUGAGAGGGUGACCGGCCACAUUGGGACUGAGAUACGGCCCAGACUCCUACGGGAGGCAGCAGUGGAGAAUAUUGCAAAAUGGGCGGAAGCCUGAUGCAGCAACGCCGCGUGCGGGAUGACGGCCUUCGGGUUGUAAACCGCUUUCGCCUGUGACGAAGAGUGAGUGACGGUAAUGGAUAAAGAAGCACCGGCUAACUACGUG